GAUGAACGCUGGCGGCGUGCCUAAUACAUGCAAGUCGAGCGAACGGACGAGAAGCUUGCUUCUCUGAUGUUAGCGGCGGACGGGUGAGUAACACGUGGAUAACCUACCUAUAAGACUGGGAUAACUUCGGGAAACCGGAGCUAAUACCGGAUGAUAUUUUGAACCGCAUGGUUCAAAAGUGAAAGACGGUCUUGCUGUCACUUAUAGCUGGAUCCGCGCUGCAUUAGCUAGUUGGUAAGGUAACGGCUUACCAAGGCAACGAUGCAUAGCCGACCUGAGAGGGUGAUCGGCCACACUGGAACUGAGACACGGUCCAGACUCCGACGGGAGGCAGCAGUAGGGAAUCUUCCGCAAGGGGCGAAAGCCUGACGGAGCAACGCCGCGUGAGUGAUGAAGGUCUUCGGAUCGUAAAACUCUGUUAUUAGGGAAGAACAUAUGUGUAAGUAACUGUGCACAUCUUGACGGUACCUAAUCAGAAAUCCACGGCUAACUACGUG
rnacentral:rRNA from 1 species